AGAAUGCUAACUGUCUAGGAAAUAAAACUAUGCAUUGGAAAGUGCAGUGGAGAGUGAGGUUUCUGUCUUAAAGAAGCCACAUCCAUGGAGUCAAAUGCUGGCGUCAAGACUGAAGCCAGUAACUGAAGAAAGACCAUGAUUUCACUAGUCCACUUCUUUGAUGCUGUUCCUGCUAACCUUUGUCACCUCUGCUAAUUCUGGAGACCAUAGACAAUAAUGAAGCUUCAGAAUAAAAAAUAAAUAAAACAAAGUAGCCACACUGCUCUUGCGCGGUUGCACCGGGAGGUGGCAUCGUGUCAGCCCUGCAAAGAGGUGACAGCAGCUGGACGGCAAACAGCAGGGGCUGCGGAAAAGCUAGGAGCCAGCCUUGGUGUUCGUUAUCCUCUGAAAGGCUGCUCCCAGAACAACAACAACAAAACUCCGAACGGCCUUUUUGGAUUUCAACACAUUUCAGUUCUUUCUGGUCCAUAGAACGCAGAAGGCAGCAGAUUCAGUGGAGCUGGCUUUCUCUUUCCUUCUGUUCCUCACUAGCCCUUCCCUCUCGUGUUUCAGUUAGCUGUGAACGUUGAGUAUAGUCGAGUACUUGAGCUGUGACGUUGAGUACAGUUAAGCCUUACAAGCUUGUAAAUUACUGCUGUGUUUGUCUUAAAUCACUGUUUUGUUUAUCUAGAAGUAGAUGUACUUAUGACUAAGUUUCUGUAUAGCUUCAACGUUGCUUGCAUACUUGCAGUACCAGAGAGUAAUAUUUCUCCCAGCUAAAAUGCACUCUAUUAAACCACAGCUAAAUUUAAAUGUAAAUGAUUAAAAAAUGAAAAUGUAGAGAGAAAAAUGAGGACUUCUAAAUAGAGCAAAACAGAUCAGAGCUCAGCCCAGUGAUCAAAUUGUAUGUUACUGCCUUCUUCU
rnacentral:lncRNA from 7 species